GGUUGGAGGCUGGCGGCGGCGCAAUGACCACGCUCCGGGCCUUCACCUGCGACGACCUGUUCCGCUUCAACAACAUUAACUUGGAUCCACUUACAGAAACUUAUGGGAUUCCUUUUUACUUACAGUACCUUGCGCACUGGCCAGAGUAUUUCAUCGUUGCCGAGGCACCUGGCGGAGAGCUAAUGGGUUAUAUUAUGGGCAAAGCAGAAGGCUCAGUAGCUAGGGAAGAGUGGCAUGGACAUGUCACAGCUCUGUCUGUCGCCCCUGAAUUCCGCCGUCUUGGCUUGGCUGCUAAACUUAUGGAGUUACUAGAGGAAAUUUCAGAAAGGUGGAUUUUUUGUUGAUCUCUUCGUUAGAGUAUCCAAUCAAGUUGCUGUCAACAUGUACAAGCAGUUGGGUUAUAGUGUCUACAGGACAGUCAUAGAGUACUACUCAGCCAGCAAUGGGGAGCCUGAUGAGGAUGCCUACGAUAUGAGGAAAGCACUUUCCAGGGACACUGAGAAGAAAUCCAUCAUCCCAUUACCUCAUCCUGUGAGGCCUGAGGACAUUGAAUAACCAUAGGCAGUGGUUCUUAGGCAGGUGUUC
rnacentral:lncRNA from 1 species